ensembl:snRNA U6 U6 spliceosomal RNA
GUGCUCACUUCGGCAGCCCAUAUACUCAAAUUGGGACAAUACAGAGAAGAUUGGCAUGGCCCCCAUGCAAGGAUGACACGCAAAUUCAUGAAGCAUUCCAUAUCAAG